AGUGAACGCUGGCGGUAGGCCUAACACAUGCAAGUCGAACGGCAGCACAGUAAGAGCUUGCUCUUACGGGUGGCGAGUGGCGGACGGGUGAGGAAUACAUCGGAAUCUACUUUUUCGUGGGGGAUAACGUAGGGAAACUUACGCUAAUACCGCAUACGACCUACGGGUGAAAGCAUGGGAUCUUCGGACCUUGCGCGAUUGAAUGAGCCGAUGUCGGAUUAGCUAGUUGGCGGGGUAAAGGCCCACCAAGGCGACGAUCCGUAGCUGGUCUGAGAGGAUGAUCCGCCACACUGGAGCUGAGACACGGUCCGGACUCCUACGGGAGGCAGCAGUGGGGAAUAUUGGACAAUGGGCGCAAGCCUGAUCCAGCCAUACCGCGUGGGUGAAGAAGGCCUUCGGGUUGUAAAGCCCUUUUGUUGGGAAAGAAAAGCAGCAGGUUAAUACGCCGCUGUUCUGACGGUACCCAAAGAAUAAGCACCGGCUAACUUCGUG
rnacentral:rRNA from 1 species